rnacentral:rRNA from 1 species
UACGGAGGGUGCAAGCGUUAUCCGGAUUCACUGGGUUUAAAGGGUGCGUAGGUGGGCAGGUAAGUCAGUGGUGAAAUCUCCGGGCUUAACCCCGGAAACUGCCAUUGAUACUAUCUGUCUUGAAUACCGUGGAGGUGAGCGGAAUAUGUCAUGUAGCGGUGAAAUGCUUAGAUAUGACAUAGAACACCAAUUGCGAAGGCAGCUCACUACACGAAUAUUGACACUGAGGCACGAAAGCGUGGGGAUCAAACAGG